UAAUACGGAGGAUCCAAGCGUUGUCCGGAUUUAUUGGGUUUAAAGGGUGCGUAGGCGGAUCUUUAAGUCAGUGGUGAAAGCCUGCAGCUUAACUGUAGAACAGCCAUUGAAACUGAAGAUCUUGAAUGUGGUUAAAGUAGGCGGAAUGUAUCAUGUAGCGGUGAAAUGCUUAGAUAUGAUACAGAACACCGAUAGCGAAGGCAGCUUGCUGAACCAUUAUUGACGCUGAGGCACGAAAGCGUGGGGAGCGAACAGG
rnacentral:rRNA from 1 species